rnacentral:tRNA from 1 species
GCUUUCGUGGUGUAGCGGCCAGCACACUCGACCCGCAACCUAGAGGUCCGUGGUUCGAUUCCUGGCGAGGGCA